GUGCUCACUUCAACAACACACAUACUAAAAUUGGAAUGAUACAGAUAAGAUUAGCAUGGCCCCUGUGCAAGGAUGACAUGCAAGUUCUAAUGAUGAAAUCAACAUAUGU